rnacentral:rRNA from 1 species
AUUUGGCGGACGGGUGAGUAAUGUAUCGGACGUGCCCAGUAGCGGGGGAUAACUACGCGAAAGCGUAGCUAAUACCGCAUACGCCCUACGGGGGAAAGCAGGGGAUCGCAAGACCUUGCACUAUUGGAGCGGCCGAUAUCGGAUUAGCUAGUUGGUGGGGUAACGGCUCACCAAGGCGACGAUCCGUAGCUGGUUUGAGAGGACGACCAGCCACCCUGGGACUGAGACACGGCCCAGACUCCUACGGGAGGCAGCAGUGGGGAAUUUUGGACAAUGGGGGAAACCCUGAUCCAGCCAUCCCGCGUGUGCGAUGAAGGCCUUCGGGUUGUAAAGCACUUUUGGCAGGAAAGAAACGUCAUGGGUUAAUACCCCGUGAAACUGACGGUACCUGCAGAAUAAGCACCGGCUAACUACGUGCCAGCAGCCGCGGUAAUAAUC